UACGGGGGGGGCAAGCGUUGUUCGGAAUUACUGGGCGUAAAGGGCUCGUAGGCGGCCAACUAAGUCAGACGUGAAAUCCCCCGGCUUAACCGGGGAACUGCGUCUGAUACUGGAUGGCUCGAGUUUGGGAGAGGGAUGCGGAAUUCCAGGUGUAGCGGUGAAAUGCGUAGAUAUCUGGAGGAACACCGGUGGCGAAGGCGGCAUCCUGGACCAACACUGACGCUGAGGAGCGAAAGCCAGGGGAGCAAACGGG
rnacentral:rRNA from 1 species